rnacentral:rRNA from 1 species
UACGGAGGGGGGCUAGCGUUGUCCGGAAUUAUUGGGCGUAAAGGGCUCGUAGGCGGUUUGUCGCGUCGGGGAGUGAAAACCUUGGGCUUAACUCAGGGCUUGCUUUCGAUACGGGCAGACUAGAGGUAUGCAGGGGGAGAACGGAAUUCCUGGUGUAGCGGUGAAAUGCGCAGAUAUCAGGAGGAACACCGGUGGCGAAGGCGGGUCUCUGGGCCGAUACUGACGCUGAGGAGCGAAAGCGUGGGGAGCGAACAGG